rnacentral:rRNA from 1 species
CCCUUAGAUGUUCUGGGCUGCACGCGCGCUACACUGAAGCGUUCAACGAGUAUUCACCUUGCCCGGGAGGGUUGGGUAAUCUUUUGAAAACGCUUCGUGAUGGGGAUAGAUUAUUGCAAUUAUUAAUCUUCAACGAGGAAUUCCUAGUAAGCGCGAGUCAUCAGCUCGUGCUGAUUACGUCCCUGCCCUUUGUACACACCGCCCGUCGCUGCCCGGAACUGAGCCAUUUCGAGAAAAAUGGGGACAGACUGCUUGUGGGUGCGCAAGCACUUCUUGCAGAUUGAAACCAUCUUGAUCGGUAUGGCUUGAACCGGGCAAAAGUCGUAACA